rnacentral:piRNA from 1 species
UCCUGAGAUGGCAAGCAGGAGGUCUGGAU